GGAUCAUUACUGAGUUAUUAAAACUCCAAACCCUUUGUGAACCUUACUGUCGUUGCCUCGGCGUGAGCUACGGCUACCCUGUAGUUACCCUAUAGCUACCCUGCAGCUACCCUAUAGUUGACCAGUAGCUACCCUGUAGCCGGCUUAUGGCCCGCCGAAGGACCGCUAAACUCUUGUUUUUUACCACUGUUUCUCUGAAUUGUAAACUUAAAUAAGUUAAAACUUUCAACAACGGAUCUCUUGGUUCUGGCAUCGAUGAAGAACGCAGCGAAAUGCGAUAAGUAAUGUGAAUUGCAGAAUUCAGUGAAUCAUCGAAUCUUUGAACGCACAUUGCGCCCAUUAGUAUUCUAGUGGGCAUGCCUAUUCGAGCGUCAUUUCGACCCUUAAGCCCCUGUUGCUUAGCGUUGGGAAUCUACAGCGUAGUUCCUUAAAGUUAGUGGCGGAGUUAGGGUACACUCUCAGCGUAGUAAUCUUUCUCGCUCGUGUGGUGGCCCUGGCUGCUAGCCGUUAAACCCCUAUAUUUUCUAGUGGUUGACCUCGGAUUAGGUAGGAAUACCCGCUGAACUUAAGCAUAUCAAUAAGCGGAGGAAAAGAAACCAACAGGGAUUGCCCUAGUAACGGCGAGUGAAGCGGCAAUAGCUCAAAUUUGAAAUCUGGCCCUCGUGGUCCGAGUUGUAAUUUGUAGAGGAUGCUUUUGGUGCGGUGCCUUCCGAGUUCCCUGGAACGGGACGCCAAAGAGGGUGAGAGCCCCGUACGGUUGGACACCUACCCUAUAUAUAGCUCCUUCGACGAGUCGAGUAGUUUGGGAAUGCUGCUCUAAAUG
rnacentral:rRNA from 1 species